GGCGGUUUCCGCUGCCGCGCGAUCCAUCCUGUUUGUUUUUAUCAAAGAUCCGGCAGAAUUCGCCCCCGAGAACCCCAGACUCUGUGUACCAAAGCUUUUCGACUCCUUACAGAGACUUUUCUACUCCCUCUUCAGCCAGCCACCCCAGAUCAGCCCCAGGCAGGAAUGUGGCAAGAAAGGUCGGUCUGGCCAAUACCCGACUGUGGUUUCUUUAACCUCGCAAGUAACAAUGGUCACAACUGUCACCAUGUGUCUGGGCAUUGUUAUCCCAUUGGAUGUGUUUUUGUUUAAAGCACAACAGAAGCGUUCUAGAAGGCCCAGAACAAACCGACUGCCUUGAAUAAACCAGGUACAGAUCUGGACACUGAGGGGGACCAGCACCCAGAGAUAAUCCCAAGCCCCCUUCUCCCUUCUUGCUAGACAGGGAUCUCAAUAGAAUAUUUUAGGCUAUCAAGAUUGCUGAAAUUCUUUGCCCCUGAAGAGACAGAUCCGGCUGCCUGCCUUUCUAAACCAGAAAAGGAUAUUUCUUUCUGAUCUAAUGCAAAGGAACAGGAAACUGAAAACCACAACACUCAGAAGCACAACUUCCUGUGGGAUUUCUGGUGUCUGCGGUCAGAAGGAAAGGAACUGCGGACAAAAUCUUUAGAAAUCUUAGAAUUGCUAAGUAACAGGGCCUUGAUUCAAUGAGCCAUGUCUACUCAUUACAUAUGUAUACUUAUGUUUCCGAGGUAAAAAAUGAAACAAAAAAUCCACCUCUAGCAAGGCAUAGUGAUGUUGCUUUUCCUAAGUGCUCUGGGCUUAUUCUUGAAAAGGGAAGAGGAAAUGUUGGGCCCCAGGAGGUGGUCUUGACAUCAUAACAGAAGAGAGUAUACUAAAAACCGCCAUUAACAGUAGAGUACAGCCACUGAUCGUUCUGACCUAUCCACAUCACUAAGGACUCUGCAGGCGGCUUCAGGGCUUUACAUGCCCAAAGCAGAGCAAAAUGGGAAGAAACUUUCUCUGACUUGUCAAGUUUCUGGAGUCCUUAAACAAUCUGGACAUGGUGGUGCAUGCCUUUAACUCUAGCAGAGGACAGAGACUAGGGCAGGCAGAUUUCAGUGAGUCCCAGGCCAGCUGGUCUGAAUAGGGAGAUACAGGACAGCCAGAGCUACAGAGAGAGGAGAUACCCACCUCAAUGUAUAUAAAGCAGUGGGGGAGUCAGCUCUUUCCUUUUACCAAAUAAGUCCCAGGUCAUUAGGCAUGGCUCUUAACUGCUGAAUCAUCUUGCCAGCCCUUAUUUGUAUCUUAUUUUAAAAUAAACACUCUAAAUUGUAUAUUUAGAGGUUACUAAAAAUUUAUAAUAUAUAUAUAUAUUUCCCUAUAAUAAAGAUUCAAAAAUACUGUUAAUGAUCGAUGUGACUUGAUUUUUACCAUGAGCGAAUAUUAAUUGUAUGUAUUAGUAGAUUUCACUGUUACAGUUCCAUAAAAGCAUAGACAGUGCUUGAGUCACAUCUACCCUCGCAGCUCCUCUCCCUUGCUCUUUCUUCCCUUUGUCAUUUCUUCAUCUUCUUUUUUUAAUAGUUCAUAUGAAAACUAAAAUCAAGUCUUUCUGAAAUUCUCUUCAGGGUAAAGAGUAUGUCUAACCUGGACUAUUUGACACUACAUCUUAAAACCAAAAACACCCCUCCCUUAGAGAUACCCUCCCUCCGGCUACAACAAGUGGCACUUUUUCUCUUGUCCUGAAUAGUCCACAAACAGGGCUUCAAAGUACAGCAUGAAUGUAAAAAUGGUUCUCCUCUCCCCAGCCUCAGCAGCUCUUCUUCUGCUGGGAAAGGAUGCUGAGGAAUGGAAACUUCCCUCCCAGAGUAGCCCCUCUUCUUCUCACCCUCCCCCGCCGAGAGCUGUGCAGCCCGCCCUGUUCUCCUUCAGCUGUGUCCCCAUCACUCUAUCCUCUCUUGGACCACAGAAUUCUUUCUACCUUAAAAUUCAACCUUCCUCUGCUGUCUUCCAUUUAAAACAGAGAAACAAAAUACUCAUUGAUCAGAACCCACUGACUACCUUCAAAGGCUCACUGCAGUGCACAUGGACAGGAUCCCAGUGCAUAGGAACCACUGUACUUGGCUGGAGGUGGGAGUGGGCAGGGCUUACGGUCUUGAAUCUUAGUUCACAUUUUGGGAUCUGUAUUUUGGAAAUAAAUGUCUCGGAGACAGAGGAAGUAACACUCUGGACUCUGGGCCAAUGCUGUCCCAUCUUCCUCUCUCCAGUCGCUUCCUAGGAGAGGCUCUGAGCUAUCUGCUAACACACCUCAGGAAGUCUAUGUUGUUCCUUUACCAACGGCUUCCUACUCUGGCAAGGAUCCAAGCAAAGGACAGGAGCUACUGUGUAUGCUGACAAGAACAUUUGCCAGCACAAGAGCCCCAGGCAGGCAGUGCCACUUCCUGUCUGACGGGCAGCUGGCAUUUUAAAUUAUCUGAGAAGGGGAUCCCAGCAAGCCAGCAGGCCAAGCACACACAGAGAAUGACACUGAUUAGCAAGUAUGACAAAUCGUGAUGUCAACCACUGAAGGAAAAAACAACCACCGAGAGGUUUUGCUGUAAUUAAGGGCUUUCCUGGCACCUCCUCUUCUGUUGGGAACAGGAUCUGAUUUCCAUUUUGCAUCAAGAUCCAGAUACAGGUGGAGAUUAUUCCAGCUCUCCCCACAGAUACUGUUCAGUUGGUAGCAAGCCUCCCCAGAGCUGCCCACCAGCCGUUUCUCUGUGUUAAGGCAUGCCCAAAUCGUCUGCAUCUUCCCUCCUCCCUAAUUUCACAAGUAAUAUACAAUUUUAAAAUCCACUGUGCUCACAUUCCAGUUGCCCAUAAAUACUAUCAUUUAAACCUAAA